rnacentral:rRNA from 1 species
AGGACGAACGCUGGCGGCGUGCUUAACACAUGCAAGUCAAGGGGGCCCAGCAACGGGCAACCGGCGAACGGGUGCGUAACACGUGAGCAACCUACCGAACUGUGGGGGAUAGCCGGCCUAACGGCCGAGUAAUACCGCAUACGCUCUCAGGGGGGCAUUUCUUUGAGAGGAAACCUACGGGACAGAUCGAGGGGCUCGCGGCCUAUCAGCUAGUUGGCGAGGUAACGGCUCACCAAGGCAACGACGGGUAGC